rnacentral:lncRNA from 1 species
UCUGUGUGACAUUCUUACCAACAUCAGGCCCAACCAGUGGGACACAAAGGGGUGCCUUUGGGCUGCACGGCCCCUUUCUGUGCCCUGUUCCUGGCUCUAGCCUCAGGGACCCAUCUGGCUACACAGGCAGACACACUGCUGCCACUACUUGCACCUACUCUGAGCUGCUUGAAUCCUAAGCCCAUGGACCACUCUGCUGUCACUGUGGCCGUGUCAGUCUUGAACCCCGAGUCAGGCCUCAGAGUGAUCUUGGUUUGCAUAGGUACAGUCUAGCAGGACAGCAUAUGUGGGAUUGGCUAGUCUCUGAUACAAGGGGACACAGGCACCAACUUGGACUCCAGAGCAGGGACUGGUCCAUGCCCUGGGCAGGUCUGAGUGUCAGGCCCU